rnacentral:rRNA from 1 species
UACGAAGGGGGCUAGCGUUGUUCGGAAUCACUGGGCGUAAAGGGCGCGUAGGCGGCCGAUCAAGUCGGGGGUGAAAGCCUGUGGCUCAACCACAGAAUUGCCUUCGAUACUGUUUGGCUUGAGACCGGAAGAGUUUAGUGGAACUGCGAGUGUAGAGGUGAAAUUCGUAGAUAUUCGCAAGAACACCAGUGGCGAAGGCGGCUGACUGGUCCGGUUCUGACGCUGAGGCGCGAAAGCGUGGGGAGCAAACAGG